rnacentral:rRNA from 1 species
GUGGGGAAUAUUGGACAAUGGGGGAAACCCUGAUCCAGCGACGCCGCGUGGGUGAAGAAGGCCUGCGGGUUGUAAAGCCCUUUCGGUGGGGAAGAAAAGCCUCGACCUAACACGUCGGGGUAUUGACGUAACCCACAAAAGAAGCACCGGCUAACUCUGUGCCAGCAGCCGCGGUAAUACAGAGGGUGCGAGCGUUAAUCGGAAUUACUGGGCGUAAAGCGCGCGUAGGCGGCUAUACAAGUCGAGUGUGAAAUCCCCGGGCUCAACCUGGGAACUGCAUUCGAGACUGUAUGGCUUGAGUAUGGGAGAGGGAGGCGGAAUUUCAGGUGUAGCGGUGAAAUGCGUAGAUAUCUGAAGGAACAUCAGUGGCGAAAGCGGCCUCCUGGACCAAUACUGACGCUCAUGUGCGAAAGCGUGGGGAGCAAACAGGAUUAGAUACCCGAGUAGUCC